GUCAGCCUCCAGGAGAGUGGAGGAGACGGGACAGGGGUCAGCCUCCAGGAGAUUGGAGGGGUCAGGGUUCAGCCUCCAGGAGAGUGGAGGAGACAGGGGUCAGCCUCCAGGAGAGUGGAGGAGUCAGGGGUCAGCCUCCAGGAGAGUGGAGGAGACAGGGGUCAGCCUCCAGGAGAGUGGAGGAGACAGGGGUCAAGGGUCAGCCUCCAGGAGAGUGGAGGAGACAGGGGUCAGCCUCCAGAAGAGUGGAGGAGACAGGGGUCAGUCUCCAGGAGAGUGGAGGAGUCAGGGGUCAGCCUCCAGGAGAGUGCAGGAGACAGGGGUCAGCCUCCAGGAGAGUGCAGGAGACAGGGGUAAGCCUCCAGAAGAGUGGAGGAGACAGGGGUCAGCCUCCAGGAGAGGAGUCAGGGGUCAGCCUCCAGGAGAGUGCAGGAGACAGGGGUAAGCCUCCAGAAGGGUGUAGGAGAUAGGGGUCAACCUCCAGGAGAGUGCAGGAGUCAGGGGUCAGCCUCCAGGAAAGUGGAGGAGACAGGGGUCAGGGGACAGCCUCCAGAAGAGUGGAUGAGACAGCGGUCAGGGGACAGCCUCCAGGAGAGUGGAGGAG